rnacentral:rRNA from 1 species
AGAGUUUGAUCCUGGCUCAGGACGAACGCUGGCGGCGUGCUUAACACAUGCAAGUCGAACGGAAAGGCCCUUCGGGGUACUCGAGUGGCGAACGGGCGAGUAACACGUGGGUGAUCUGCCCUGCACUUUGGGAUAAGCCUGGGAAACUGGGUCUAAUACCGAAUAUGACCAUGCACUUCCUGGUGUGUGGUGGAAAGCUUUUGCGGUGUGGGAUGGGCCCGCGGCCUAUCAGCUUGUUGGUGGGGUAAUGGCCUACCAAGGCGACGACGGGUAGCCGGCCUGAGAGGGUGACCGGCCACACUGGGACUGAGAUACGGCCCAGACUCCUACGGGAGGCAGCAGUGGGGAAUAUUGCACAAUGGGCGCAAGCCUGAUGCAGCGACGCCGCGUGAGGGAUGACGGCCUUCGGGUUGUAAACCUCUUUCAGCACAGACGAAGCGCAAGUGACGGUAUGUGCAGAAGAAGGACCGGCCAACUACGUGCCAGCAGCCGCGGUAAUACGUAGGGUCCGAGCGUUGUCCGGAAUUACUGGGCGUAAAGAGCUCGUAGGUGGUUUGUCGCGUUGUUCGUGAAAACUCACAGCUUAACUGUGGGCGUGCGGGCGAUACGGGCAGACUUGAGUACUGCAGGGGAGACUGGAAUUCCUGGUGUAGCGGUGGAAUGCGCAGAUAUCAGGAGGAACACCGGUGGCGAAGGCGGGUCUCUGGGCAGUAACUGACGCUGAGGAGCGAAAGCGUGGGGAGCGAACAGGAUUAGAUACCCUGGUAGUCC